GGAACGAGCUCAAAUUUGAAAUCUGGUAGCCUUGCGGUUGCCCUGAGUUGUAAUCUAGAAGAAGUGUUUUCCGUGCCGGCCCAUGUACAGAGUCCCUUGGAACAGGCGUCAUAGAGGGUGAGAAUCCCGUCCUUGACAUGGACCCCCGGUGCUUUGUGAUACACUUUCAACGAGUCGAGUUGUUGGGAAUGCAGCUCAAAAUGGGUGGUGAAUUCCAUCUAAAGCUAAAUAUUGGCGAGAGACCGAUAGCGAACAAGUACCGUGAGGGAAAGAUGAAAAGCACUUUGGAAAGAGAGUUAAACAGUACGUGAAAUUGUUGAAAGGGAAACGAUUGAAGUCAGUCAUGCUCUUAGGAUUCAGCCGUUCUGCGGUGUAUUUCCUUUGAGUGGGGUCAACAUCAGUUUUGAUCGAUGGAUAAAGGCACGAGGAAGGUAGCACUCUCGGGUGAACUUAUAGCCUCGCGUCAUAUACAUUGAUUGGGACUGAGGAACGCAGCAUGCCUUUAUGGCCGGGAUUCGUCCACGUACAUGCUUAGGAUGUUGACAUAAUGGCUUUAAACGACCCGUCUU
rnacentral:rRNA from 1 species